CAGUCGCCGCGGGAAUACGUAGGUGGCAAGCGUUGUCCGGAAUUAUUGGGCGUAAAGCGCGCGCAGGCGGAUCAGUUAGUCUGUCUUAAAAGUUCGGGGCUUAACCCCGUGAUGGGAUGGAAACUGCCAAUCUAGAGUAUCGGAGAGGAAAGUGGAAUUCCUAGUGUAGCGGUGAAAUGCGUAGAUAUUAGGAAGAACACCAGUGGCGAAGGCGACUUUCUGGACGAAAACUGACGCUGAGGCGCGAAAGCCAGGGGAGCGAACGGGAUUAGAUACCCGGGUAGUCCCUGUCUCUUAUACA
rnacentral:rRNA from 1 species